rnacentral:rRNA from 1 species
GACGAACGCUGGCGGCGUGCUUAACACAUGCAAGUCGAACGGAAAGGCCCUGCUUGCAGGGUACUCGAGUGGCGAACGGGGGAAUAACACGUGGGUGAUCUGCCCUGCACUUCUGGAGAAGCCUGGGAAACAGGGUCUAAUACCGGAGAGGAGCCAUUUUUAGUGUGAUGGGGGGGAGGUUUCUUCGGUUGGGGAUGGACUCGCGGCCUAUCAGCUUGUUGGUGGGGUGGUGGCCUACCAAGGCGGCGACGGGUAGCCGGCCUGAGAGGGUGGCCGGCCACAUUGGGACUGAGAUACGGCCCAGACUCCUACGGGAGGCAGCAGUGGGGAAUAUUGCACAAUGGGCGGAAGCCUGAUGCAGCAACGCCGCGUGCGGGAUGACGGCCUUCGGGUUGUAAACCGCUUUCGCCUGUGACGAAGCGUGAGUGACGGUAAUGGGUAAAGAAGCACCGGCUAACCACGUG